GAUAGAUAAGAUAGCUAGCUAGCUAGCUAGAUAGAUAGAUUUAAGUAACAAAUGUAAAGAACAGCCCUGGAAAGACAAUGACAACAGCCAGAGCCUGCUCAGAGUGGCUCACCGUGCUCACCCAACGUUGAGUAUGGUUCUCCUUCUUGGGCACCAUGGGUGCCCCCAAACACAGACUUCUGCCUCAGUGAUUGACUGGAGGCUGCCCCCUCCUAACCAGUCCGCAGUCAACCCGAGUUCUCCCAAGUUCUCCCAAGUUCUCCCUCCUCCCUGGCAUCCCCCAUGCUUCGCUUCUGGCACAGGGAUGUUCCGGGUGAAGCUUUUCUUCAGGGCGCCUCAUUCCCUCUCAGUACACUCUCACAGUGUCCCCGACAGGCGAGCCCUGGCAGCCUCUUCCUGCAUCUUUCCUCUUACCCUUAAGACAAAGGCGUUCAAGGCUCUUGGUUUUAUAUUUCCACGGGCUAUUAAUAUUUUAAUGACAAGACCUAGAGAGUCGACGUAAAUAUAUCACAUUCUGUAAACAUUUCUUGAGCCUCUACUUAAUUACCAGACACUACUCUAGUCCUUCUACUUUCUCACAGCUAGCCUAUCAGCUUCCCAGAGGCUUCAGGUAAGAAACAGAGAAUCACAGUGUGCGACCCUCCGCACCCUCCUGCCCUUCAAAUCCAGCCAACGACCAAGUGUUGUGAGAUAUUUCUUCUGUCUCCCACACGUGUUUCUCCCUCUCUCUUUCGACUGGGCACCUCACCUCAGCCCUUCCUAGUCUGUCGUUUGUACCCCUGAGUCCAGAGCCUCAACCUUCCUCCAACCUAUUCUGCACAACCGCAUCUUCCUCAAAAGCCUCCUUAUCCAACCCCCCCAACUCCAUCAAAUCCUUUGAUGGUUUCCUCCCCAGAUUUCAUUCAAGGUUCUCUGUGACCCUGCCCGAACUCUCUGGAGCGGGAUAUAUUCAUAGACACCCUGCCUCACCCUGGCAGGGUGUCUAUGAAUAUAGACAGGGGUCUUAGGGAAGGAAGGAGGAGGGGGGUCUGGGUAUCAGUCUGACUAGAGGGCUGUGUACCCAGGAGGGCUUUAGCGCAAUGUGGCCGGGCAAAAUUCUGAAUCAUAGUCAGUGAGGGCAGCCAAAUUCCUAUCUGGGAAAUCAGGGCAGUCUGAAGGGUGAGGCCAAGCCGUAAACAGAAUGAGUAAUGAGGUCAGAAGCUGGUGGGGACCAGAAUCAUGUCUAGAUGCAGUUCAAGGAAACGGAAAUGGUACAGGACUGAGGCUGUGGAUUGAAUUUUAAGAAGGUAUGCUGCUCUACAUGGGGAUGGGGGCGGGAAGAGCAGCCCUCGAAAUCUCCCCUCCCUCUGGCUUUGCUCUUUGGGUUUUCAUGUGUGUGGAAAUGCCCGUCUUCCCUGCCCCGCAGUUUCCCACGCUUCCCAGGGCCCCAGCACUGCUGAGUGACUUGUCCAAGGUAGUGUGGUGGCAGAUGUGGAAACAGAGCUCCGUCUCCCACCUAACAAGGGAUGUGCUAGGGAAGCAAGCUUAAACUCACGUUCGUCACAUCUCCACGUCUCAGAUUCCUCACCUGUAAAGCGAGGACAAUAAUAACGCUACUUCAUAAUAGUGUUACAUAAGAAUAAGACUACUCUGAGGAUUAGCCAAGCAAAUAUUUGUAAAACGCUUAGAACAGUGCUUGGCACAUAGUAAAUGCUGUAUAAGUGUUAGUUAAAUAAAAAUAAGGUGCACAGCUGGUAAAUAGGGCCAGUACUCAAAGUCAGUUCUAAUUUUAACAUUCUAGUCCUUAGAUCCUCCACUAAGGUCAACAGCAGGUUAUGAUGGACUCAGCUGACUAUAGGGCUUUCAAAAACUAAUUUUCAUGUCAACAAAGAAUAGAAAAACAUGCUGUUGGCUUAUUUUACUCAGGCACAACGGAAAUAUCACUUGAGUUAGCACCCUUUCCUGUUCUUAGGAAACCACUAAGAAAUCCAGACGGACCAGUUCAAAUAAUAGUUUACAUCCCAAAUUUAAUAAACCUUUCAAAAAAAAAAAAAGUCAAACUUAGAAAAUGACUGUGGGUUCAGGAAAGAACAGCAUAGGAGUGCCUGGCUGGCUCAGUCGGCGGAGCUGGUGACUCUUGAUCUCAGGGUUGUGAGUUCGAGUCCCCAGCUGGGUGUGGAGAUUACUUAAAAAAAAAAAAAAAAAAGGACCAGUGUAGAUUAGAGAAACUGGGCUCAGUCUGGCAAGGGUCAAGGCUGCAGCUCUCCUUGGAGAGGUAGCCAGAGAGCAGACAACACAGAGGAAGAAACACUGUAUUUAUUUUCCAAAACUGUUGGGGGAAGGCCUUUGGAAAAGGGAGAAUGUGAGUGUUUGGUUUGUAAAAUGAUAAAAAAGGGACUGAGUGUAUUGUUCUAUGGCUCAGUAGCAAUUCAAAGAAGAUAGUGCAAAAGGCUGCUUGCUUUAGCAAUCUAUCAACCGGAAAUCUUUAUUAACUGAACCUCUCACUUGACAACAAUAUGGCACUAAAAGAUGUUCGAAAAUGAUGACCCUGAUAGACUGCAAAAUCCGAAACAGCUUUCUGACACAAGAGAAAAAAGAUGAAAUGAAGCUUGGUAUGGUUUGUGACAAGUGUAUUUUAUUGUAUUCUAAUUUUUCCCAAACAAGCAAUAUUUUUGUCAUCUGUUGUAUGGGAGUGAUUUAUAUGCCAUCUAAUAACUCCCUACCCAUCCUACCACUAGAACAAUACGUUUGCCUGAUUAUGGUUGGUAUCAGGGUUUAAUAAAUACUCCUUUUCUCUGAACACGCUUUCCCCAUUGCUUGCUUCCGUGUUCCCGCGCCCUAUGCUUUAUGCCUGUCUUUGCCGGAACGUGACCCGAGGGUCCUCCGCUACCUGGAUUCUUCCCCAAAGGAGCUGUCCCUGGCCUUUCCAACCACUCACCCUGCUUGGCACACUUUCACACUGGGGUGGAGGUUUUGAGGAGGGCGCUCUCUUUCUCUUAAGAACCACGAGGAAGGACACCGGCCAGGGGAGAAGGGAAGGAACGAGCACAGCUCUUGGGAGGUAAGGCCUCGGAGCGCGGGGCGGCGACAGCUGAGUGGCGUGGAGCACGUGGCCGGACUGGAACAGGCACCGAGCCGCAGGGACCGCCCCGGGGACGCCCGAGACACAAAGCAGAACCCAACUCGUGCCCGCCGGGCCCCGGAUCCCUCAGCCACAGAGGAGGUUCUCCCGCCUUUAUGACCUUCCCAUUCCUCUCGCGCCCCUCCUCGGCCCGCACUUCGGGCUCCGCAUACCACAGGGGUCAGACCCAAAUAAAAUCCGUACAUGGACUCCAUCCUCGGGGCACAGCCUUAGCUUACCACCUCGGACCGAAGAUGGCCCCGGCUCUCACCUCCCUUCCCCACCCCCCGAAUCUCUGCUUGUAAACACCAGUCACUUGGUAACACCCUCAAUCAGACGCCUUUGGGCUAUUAUUCAUCACCGACUAACCUUCAACCAACUUCAUCUUCACAGGCCUCCCCCCAGAAGAGAGGAAAUUCCACAGCUCUGAGUUCUAGAAUUAAGGCCUCAAAAUGCAUCUUACCAAAGUGAAAGAACUGGCGGGAAGUUUCCAGAAGUCCUUGUUGAUGUCCCUUUCCUUCUGGUUUCAACGUUUCGUAAACGAUUUGGUGUUUGUGUGUGUGCGGUAAGAGAAAAGGUAGGAAAAUAGCUCUGGGGAACGAGGAUAUCAUCUCAUGGCCUGUUUUACUCUUUAACCUGGUAAUAAAUCUCUUUAAACCUCCUGAGGUAUUCAGAAUAUCCUGUCCAUGGCAAGGUCUUCCCACAGUCGUGAAGGGUAUUCAAGUUUCCUAGGUGGACAGCGCGAUGAGAUCCCAAAGGCACAGUCUUGCCCUUUCCGACCAUUCGUACACGAUGAGGCUCAAUCUGCUAAUUCUCGGAUGGGUGUGCUAAAUAACAGGAGGCAGAGUGCGGGAAGAGGCAGGACCAAACUGAGAAAAGCUCGCCAGUUCCAGAACUCAGCACAACAAUCAAGGGAUAAAGCAGUAAUUAGGCCUGAUUAUCAUGCAAGGCAGCCCCAGUUAAAUUGGAAUGUAGCCGGAGAGACGAAAGGCUGGAUGGAGAGUUUGCUAUGCAGGAAACACGCUUUGAUGUCUGCAGGGAAGGUUGUGUUUUAUGCAGCCCUCCAACCAACCAAAAAAAUGUUGCAGGAGCAAUAUGAAACCUUCUAAAAUGCAGCAGACGGGAAGCUGGAGUGGAGAGCAAGGGGCUGGGUCCAAAUUCCCCUCCUGAGUGAGUGAGUGUGUGUGUGUGUGUGUGUGUGUGUGUGUGUGUGUGUGUACUUAUACAUGCCUCUUUUCUCAGAUUUACCGCUCCAGCCUCUUGGAUAUGUCAGAAGACAGGAAAAGAGAAAAGGAGCGCACGCUCCAGCUGUUAACUCGCCGUCCUGGGCUUGCACAUUAUUACGACAAGGGAGAAUGUGUUGAAGGUUGAGGCAGCCUUUUUACCUGCUGUGGGGAGAAAGCAGAGGAAAUGGAGGUAAAUGACCCUGUGUGUCCCGGAGAGGCCUGGAACUCUGCUGACAGAUGCAGACGGAGUCAUCUGAGGCUGCCAGCUACCAGAGCUUUUGACCAACUGAUGUACGAAGAAGAAAAUGAGCCAAGAAAGGUGUUCACUGGAGGAAGUGGGAUGUGCAAUCUUGAUUUUGCGUGAAGACAGUCCAUGAAAAUACAAAAUGCAGAGACUAAAUGCAAUUUCUUUUUCUCAGAGAUUUCCAAAAUAAGAUCCUCUCACCGCUAUGGUAUACCAUCCAGACAGGCAGUUCAGUUAUUUCUUUUCAAAAGGGAUGAAGUAAGUUGCUGAUCACGUUAUCUUGAAGGAACCAAAAGAGCGUGGAUUCCAUAUCACACACAUUGCUUCUUCGGUUUAUCUCAGUUUUUUCCUCUGCUUUUGCAAGAGACAAUCCACAGAAUCAGCUGUUUUUGCUGUGAUUUCUUUUGUACCCCAGUUUACUCUUAAGUACUGUAUAAAAUAAUAGUGACAUGUAUAUACCAUCCAGAAAGAGACCACAGAAUAACUACAGGCACAAACCUAUUGCUUCUGUCACUACUGACAUUGCCACAAUACUUUAGAAAUUGUGUGAGUGAAGGAUGACUCUUUGAUGUAACAGGCUGCUCCUUUUGUCUGCCCCCCGCCAACAGUGUCACUUGAUUUAGGAGAAACUCUACUGCAUCCCCUUUAUAAAAUUUCCUGAAAUUACUCUUGUGGUGUGCAGCAUAAAUUUGGGAUAAAUAAAUUGCACAAGAUUGAAAAUAC